rnacentral:rRNA from 1 species
UACGAAGGGGACUAGCGUUGUUCGGAUUUACUGGGCGUAAAGCGCGCGUAGGCGGAUCGCUAAGUCAGGGGUGAAAUCCCAGGGCUCAACCCUGGAACUGCCUUUGAUACUGACGAUCUGGAGAUCGGGAGAGGUUGGUGGAAUUCCGAGUGUAGAGGUGAAAUUCGUAGAUAUUCGGAGGAACACCAGAAGCGAAGGCGGCCAACUGGCCCGAUACUGACGCUGAGGCGCGAAAGCGUGGGGAGCAAACGGG